rnacentral:rRNA from 1 species
UAAUACGUAGGGCGCAAGCGUUGUCCGGAAUUAUUGGGCGUAAAGAGCUCGUAGGCGGUUUGUCGCGUCUGGUGUGAAAACUCAAGGCUCAACCUUGAGCUUGCAUCGGGUACGGGCAGACUAGAGUGCGGUAGGGGUGACUGGAAUUCCUGGUGUAGCGGUGGAAUGCGCAGAUAUCAGGAGGAACACCGAUGGCGAAGGCAGGUCACUGGGCCGCAACUGACGCUGAGGAGCGAAAGCAUGGGGAGCGAACAGGAUUAGAUACCCUGGUAGUCCAUGCCGUAAACGUUGGGCACUAGGUGUGGGGCUCAUUCCACGAGUUCCGUGCCGCAGCAAACGCAUUAAGUGCCCCGCCUGGGGAGUACGGCCGCAAGGCUAAAACUUAAAGGAAUUGACGG